rnacentral:misc_RNA from 1 species
UACGGAGGGGGCAAGCGUUAUUCGGAAUUAUUGGGCGUAAAGGGCGCGUAGGCGGCCGGGCAAGUCAGGGGUGAAAUCCCUCGGCUCGACCGCGGAACUGCCUCCGAAACUGUACGGCUUGAGACCGGGAGAGGGUGGUGGAAUUCCUAGUGUAGCGGUGAAAUGCGUAGAUAUUAGGAGGAACACCAGUGGCGAAGGCGACCACCUGGACCGGAUCUGACGCUGAGGCGCGAAAGUGUGGGGAGCAAACAGG